CGUGAAAUCGACUGUAAACGUUAAUUAAACUUUUAAUGGCAUAUAAUCAUAGUCAUUUAAUAACAUUAUAGUAUUAAACUGCUAUGGAAUAUUGUAAAACAUAAACCUUUAAUAGCUGUAUUUAAAUUUGCAUGGCACAGGGUAUAAUUUUCGCUUAUUCUUACAAUAAAUUUCACGCCACCUUGGCCACGAAGGCGCAAAAUACGAUCAGCGCGCCCACAUGCGUGCCUGAAACUAGGUUUUGCUGCCUUAAAAUUUGUGGGUGGGAUUUUGGUCAACCAUUUGUCAAAUCCCCGGGGUCCUCCAAUACCCAGCCCCCGUGCACAUAUAUGAAAGGCAAAUUCCCGACCCCCGUGAACUGUCUAUCGGGCAAAUUCCCGGGGGUGUCCCGGGGGGGGGGAUGGUUACUCCAGGAAUUGACUCAUGCAUAAAUUUCUCAUUCAAGUUGAAAUAUUUAACCAAGAAGCUGAUAAAGUGACGUCCAAUUGAAGUAUCAAACGAAUAAUGCAGCGACAACCGCGAUAAUGCUUUGAUAAAUGCAUGGAUAAUUAAUUCUUGCGAUAUUAAAAUGUGUGGAUAAUUAAUUCAUUUUAUUUCGGAUAUCGAAGUCCGAUCCGACUACGAAGUGAAUAUUUUGGUACCGAAAUCCGA